rnacentral:tRNA from 1 species
GCCUCUGUAGCUCAGUUGGUAGAGCACACGACUGAAAAUCGUGGGGUCAACAGUUCAAGCCUGUUCGGAGGCA